CGGGGGAUUAGUGGCGAACGGGUGAGUACACGUGAGUAACCUGCCCUUAACUCUGGGAUAAGCCUGGGAAACUGGGUCUAAUACCGGAUAUGACUGAUCAUCGCAUGGUGGUUGGUGGAAAGCUUUUUGUGGUUUUGGAUGGACUCGCGGCCUAUCAGCUUGUUGGUGAGGUAAUGGCUUACCAAGGCGACGACGGGUAGCCGGCCUGAGAGGGUGACCGGCCACACUGGGACUGAGACACGGCCCAGACUCCUACGGGAGGCAGCAGUGGGGAAUAUUGCACAAUGGGCGCAAGCCUGAUGCAGCGACGCCGCGUGAGGGAUGACGGCCUUCGGGUUGUAAACCUCUUUCAGUAGGGAAGAAGCGAAAGUGACAGUACCUGCAGAAGAAGCGCCGGCUAACUACGUGCCAGCAACCGCGGUAAUACGUAGGGCGCAAGCGUUAUCCGGAAUUAUUGGGCGUAAAGAGCUCGGAGGCGGUUUGUCGCGUCUGCCGUGAAAGUCCGGGGCUCAACUCCGGAUCUGCGGUGGGUACGGGCAGACUAGAGUGAUGUAGGGGAGACUGGAAUUCCUGGUGUACCGGGGAAAUGCGCAGAUAUCAGGAGGAACACCGAUGGCGAAGGCAGGUCUCUGGGCAUUAACUGACGCUGAGCGAAACGAAGCAUGGGGAGCGAACAGGAUUAGAUACCCUGGUAGUCCAUGCCGUAAACGUUGGGCACUAGGUGUGGGGGAACA
rnacentral:rRNA from 1 species